CCACCUCAUGGGAUUCUUGUUCUUAGAGUUCAGUUAUCACGUCAUGAGGAAGGGAAGAGGCUGCCUGUAAAGACUACUGCCAAGUGUCCCGGAUGACAAUCCCAGACACCAUCAACGUAAAGACAUAUGAAUGAGUGAGCCUUAAUAUGAUUCUAGCCCCAGUCAUAAUCUGACUAAAACUGCAUGAGAUACCUGAGCAAGAAUUACCUCGGAAAGCCCAGUCAACACCAAGAAAAAUGAAAGACAGUGGCUAAACCAGAACAUGGAGUGGUAAGAAGAGAGGCAUGAAGAAACAAUUACUACUAGUCCUUGAGCACCAAAUCUGGCUGGGCAAGAGUGGAAGUUGAGGCUGUGUGAAGAGGCAGAAUCUUCUAACCGACUUGCUAUAAUCAGAUUAAUGUAAUCAGAAUUCAAAGAGAGAAGUCAUAGAUGAGGAAGUGCAGUAGGCCACAAUCAGGUAGGAGAAAACAGGAAACAAAAGUCAAAAGCAAGGUAUCACGAUAAAAUAGCAUAGAAAUAUAUGCGCCAAAUAGACCAGUUGAACUACUGAUUCUAGGCUGCUGCUCAUAUACUGUGACAUUCCUUCUGUAUGGCUUAGACAAAUCUAUAGCUAACAAGAGAACAAGUAGGGAUGCUUGUCUCUUUCUUCUGUAUACUCAAAUCAUUCUCUAAGGGCUUUUUGUCCCAAUCUUAAAACAAUAACAACAAAAUUUGUCUUUUUUUAAAAAAAAGUGAAAACUUUCCUUCUUUCUCAAUCAGAACAAGUGAACAAACAACAAAAAUAAACCUGUAGUUCUGCAUCUUCUUGCUCUUGCUCAGUAAAAUGGCUUUUUCUCUCUCCAUUCUGUCAAGAAUACCUCCUCAAACAUUCUCUGGUUCUCCAGGCUUUCAUUACCAUUAUUGCUCCCAGACAAUUCCACAUAUACAAUUUCUCUCCAAUUCAUUCCCUUCUGUAUAUUUCCUCUCCAGUAGCCCUAUAACUCAGGUCCUAAUCCUCUCCCACUACAAAAAACAUAACAGUCUCCAAACUGGUUUACCUGUUCGCAGCCUUAUUUCAAAUCUAUCCCUUAUAAUAUCAUUAGAAUUAGCUCCAAAAUACAAAUACGAUUGGGUCCACUAUAAUUUGAAGAUCUUUGAGGUCUUUGUGUUGCCUUAAAUUUAUGCUUCUUAAUUUGGCUGUUAAAACCACUUUCAAUCUUAUCUCAACUUAUCUUUUCCAAUUUU